GAGUUUCCGGGGGUGUGUUUGGAGGAGUUUCUGGUGGUGUGGUUGGAGGUGUCUUUGGUGUGUUUGGAGGAGUUCCCGGUGGUGUGUUUGGAGGUGUUUCUGGUGGAGUAUUUGGAGGACUUUGUGGGGGGGUGUUUGGUGGAGUUUCUGGUGGUGUGAUUGGAGGAGUUUCUGGUGGUGUGGUUGGAGGUGUCUCCGGUGGUGUGUUUGGAGGAGUUCCUGGUGGUGUGUUUGGAAGUGUCUCUGGUGGUGUGUUUGGAGGAGUUCCCGGUGGUGUGUUUGGAGGUGUUUCUGGUGGAGUAUUUGGAGGACUUUGUGGGGGGGUGUUUGGUGGAGUUUCUGGUGGUGUGAUUGGAGGAGUUUCUGGUGGUGUUGUUGGAGGUGUCUCCGGUGGUGUGUUUGGAGGAGUUCCUGGUGGUGUGUUUGGAAGUGUCUCCGGUGGUGUGUUUGGAGGAGUUCCCGGUGGUGUGUUUGGAGGUGUUUCUGGUGGAGUAUUUGGAGGACUUUGUGGGGGUGUGUUUGGUGGAAUUUCCGGUGGUGUGGUUGGAGAAGUUUCCGGUGGUGUGUUUGGAGAAGUUUCUGGUGGUGUGGUUGGAGGUGUCUCCGGUGGUGUGGUUGGAGGUGUCUCCGGUGGUGUGUUUGGAGGAGUUCCCGGUGGUGUGUUUGGAGGUAUUUCCGGUGGAGUGUUUGGAG
rnacentral:lncRNA from 1 species